rnacentral:lncRNA from 1 species
AUAGAGAGUUGAAAGGCCCUCAGCCUUAUUCAUUCACUGAUGAUUUACACCCUGUGUUUGCAUGCAGGCAUGGCUCCAGGGAUUGAACUGGGACAGGGGACAGGAUCAUGACAACAAGUUAAAACCCACCGUGACGGACCUUUCAUACUGCCGCUCAGAGUCAGACGGAUGAUAGAUUGGGACGGCGCUAAGGUGGUGACUGCCAUCUGGGAGCGUGCGAUACAGAGUUUAGGGAUAAAGAAGUGGAUGUUUGUCUCUGUUCUACAUCUCCUCUCUCCAUCUUCCACUUCUUUGUGGCUCCUUUUUCUUUUCUGCCUGUGAAUUCCCGUGGUGAAUGUCACAACCCGAGGGCCGGAGCAUUGGCGGUCCAGCAGAUAUGGGCCCUCUUUGUUCUGAAACGCCGCAUCACGGGGGGAUAUUUGCAUGAAGGGCACAGAUCUCAGUCAUCCCAGCUUGAAAGAGGGGACGGAAGGGCUCCAUUCCCAGAAACAGUCCAAGGACAACAAAAGCCCGCGAUAACACGUAUUUCCUAG